AUUAAAACUUAAUAAAUCGCGUUUUCUGAACCGAGAUUGCCCAUUGAAGAAAACCCGACCCGGGAUUAAAAACCAACUCGACACAAUUAAAAAAAAUGAAAUCGAAGACGACGACUAUGAAGACGGAAAAAAAGAGACGACUAAGAACAGAGAGAGAACGAAGACGAAGAAGAGAGACAGAGAGCUUGACGGGUACGAGAACAGAGAGAGAGAUAGACGAUGAAGAACAGAGGAGAGAGAGAGAGACAAUUGUAGGCGUACCAAUACAAUACUGGUGUGAUCAGAAUGUGGUGACCUUAGUAUCAAUGACCUAAAAGAAUCCGUAUAGGAGGAUGAAGCUGUGAUAGAUGAGAUUGAAAGGUGGAUGCAAAACAUGAUUGAACUUGUGAACGAUGUUAAAGAUCUGCGAAAGGGUAUGAUGGAGCACUUUGAGUUUCAAGAAACAAGGCUUGAGAAAGAAGCAAUGAGAAUAAAGAUGAUGAAAUUGAAAGCUAUGUUCGAAAAUGGUCAUGUACCUUUAUGUGGUUUUGUGAUGUUGAGUUUAAAACAUGAGUUUGACUUGUUUAUGCUUAUUUAUGCUUGGAUAUGGUUAAUGCUUUAGAAGGUAAAGAACACGAAAUUAAAAAACACGUUUCAAAGUUGUUAGUUAAUCAAAUUGUUUUCUCAUUAACCUUAACCAAAUGAUUUACAAGUGUUUAUAUAGAGCUUUACAUCAGCCAUCGUCAACUAACUAACAACUUGACUCUAUAUUGCACAAGUGUGAGUGCUUGGGGAUGAGAACAUAGUGAGCUUCUGGUGGUCUUGGUAGUGAGCCAUAGAAGAAUCCAAGUAAAAAUUCAAACCAACCAGAAUGAGCCUUGGUGAUCUUUCUAUGCACUGCAUAAACGUGACUCUGUCCAUUCAACAAGUCAUGAAUCAUGAUUACCAAUAUCAAAUGCAGUCCAUGGUCUAGCAUACUCUCGAUUUCAAUUAGCAUCAAGCAUCACUAUAAGCAUGAGAUAUCCAUGGAAGUACCAUACGCUAGAAACUGAAAUCAGCUCCUCUGACACAUAAAUGGAUGCACCUUCUUGUGACUGUAUUGACCUUAGGCAAAACUGAAACUGUUUCACCAGUUGUAGCUCAUCAAGAAAACCCAAAACAAACCAGAGAAGUUAUAACUGCAAUGGUGCAGGACCCGCAGGUUUAGAUGAUAAGCCAAAAUUCUCAUGGCUUGAAACCGAAGUUGAUGAAGCAAUUGUUUCUCUCUCUGUUCUUCAUCGUCUCUCUCACACGGUUCUUCGUCCUCGUCACUCUCUCUGUCUCUCUUCUUCGUUCUUGCUCUCUCUCUCUCUCUGUUUUUCAUCGUCUCUGUUCUUGGCGUCUUUUUUUUUUUUUUUUUUGGGCUCAACAUCAACUUAUAUUCAUCCAAAGAUUGGGUACAACCAGUUCAAUCCACAACAGAUUUUCACCGCAAAUGCAAAUGGGGAUCUAGUAUCACCCUGAAUCACUAUAGAGGAUCCAACGCUACCCGACUUAAUCCCAUUGCGUUUUAAACCCCAAACGAACGUAAAUCAUCCCACGACACGGAAUGAAAUCGUCCCAUUAAACCACCUAAUUCGACCUAAUGAUACGAAGACAUCUACUCACACGAAAGAUACAAGCCUAAUUCGAACACAAUUAUAACCAGAUUAUUGGUUCCAGAAGAUAGGAGUGUAGCUCAUGUACCAACAACAAACUUCGCCAGAGGCGCAUCUUUGAAACUCAGCUCACAUCUCCGGAUUUCGAUGACUCGAUCCUCAACCACAAAACGGACAGACGUGUCCGUACUGAAAAAAGCGGACUUUAACAACGAACGCUCGCAGGCGCCGCAGCAAAUCCAAAGCUUCCAACGGUGCACAACUCUCGCCGCCGGUUAUGAACAGAACGUCCUCUCCGGCGCUGGGAUGCAGAGCCUCUGCCACGUGCCGUCGUAAGGUUAACUUUGCCGGUUGACCACUCCGACGUUGUGAGCCUUGACACAUGUUGCUCCCGAGAACCGGAUGUCAAACCGCCUUUCACUCGCCGUUGUUUUUCUCCUCCAAUCGUCUCACCGCCGCAUAGGGAAGGAGAUCCAUGGUGGAGGAGACGCCUCGCCUCGCCACGCGCCGCCGUCUUGAAGGAUUUGCCGCAUAUCUAAAAAAAGGAAAAGUAGAUAUGUCUCCUCCUUCAGUCCUAAAAGCCGAUUCUCGCUUCUACCGUUGUCUACAAGUCUCACAGUCGCUCCAGAGUAGCCGUAACCCGUCACCGUUGAAACACUACGAAUCUCCGGUUGUUUCACAGUUUCCAGAAACGCCAAGCAAGGAGACAAAUAGAAGAAACGAUGGAAAGGAGAGCAAAGGAAAAGAGGAAGAGGGAAGAGGGAGCCUCCGGCUACGGCAGUCGCCGCGCCGGAGUUAGGGUUCCGGUGCUUUUGUAGUGAGAGGUUAGAGCGACUUUCGAAGAGAGAGAAAUGCUUCUUUAUCCUGUUCUUCGUGUCUUGAGAAAGAGAAACCAAAAUUUUUAAUUUACACCUAAAAUCGAUUUCAUUUUUUUUAAUUGUGUCGAGUUGGUUUUUAAUNNN
rnacentral:lncRNA from 1 species